rnacentral:rRNA from 1 species
ACGGGUGAGUAACGCGUGGGAACGUGCCUUUCGGUUCGGAAUAACUCAGGGAAACUUGAGCUAAUACCGGAUACGCCCUUUGGGGGAAAGAUUUAUUGCCGAAAGAUCGGCCCGCGUCCGAUUAGCUAGUUGGUGUGGUAAUGGCGCACCAAGGCGACGAUCGGUAGCUGGUCUGAGAGGAUGAUCAGCCACACUGGGACUGAGACACGGCCCAGACUCCUACGGGAGGCAGCAGUGGGGAAUAUUGGACAAUGGGCGCAAGCCUGAUCCAGCCAUGCCGCGUGAGUGAUGAAGGCCCUAGGGUUGUAAAGCUCUUUCGCCAGGGACGAUAAUGACGGUACCUGGAUAAGAAGCCCCGGCCAACUUCGUGCCAGCAGCCGCGGUAAUACGAAGGGGGCUAGCGUUGUUCGGAAUCACUGGGCGUAAAGCGCACGUAGGCGGAUCUUUAAGUCAGGGGUGAAAUCCCGAGGCUCAACCUCGGAACUGCCUUUGAUACUGGAGGUCUCGAGUUCGGGAGAGGUGAGUGGAACUGCGAGU